UUAGAGUUUGAUCAUGGCUCAGAUUGAACGCUGGCGGCAGGCCUAACACAUGCAAGUCGAGCGGAUGAGUGGAGCUUGCUCCAUGAUUCAGCGGCGGACGGGUGAGUAAUGCCUAGGAAUCUGCCUGGUAGUGGGGGACAACGUUUCGAAAGGAACGCUAAUACCGCAUACGUCCUACGGGAGAAAGCAGGGGACCUUCGGGCCUUGCGCUAUCAGAUGAGCCUAGGUCGGAUUAGCUAGUUGGUGAGGUAAAGGCUCACCAAGGCGACGAUCCGUAACUGGUCUGAGAGGAUGAUCAGUCACACUGGAACUGAGACACGGUCCAGACUCCUACGGGAGGCAGCAGUGGGGAAUAUUGGACAAUGGGCGAAAGCCUGAUCCAGCCAUGCCGCGUGUGUGAAGAAGGUCUUCGGAUUGUAAAGCACUUUAAGUUGGGAGGAAGGGCAGUAAGUUAAUACCUUGCUGUUUUGACGUUACCGACAGAAUAAGCA
rnacentral:rRNA from 1 species